rnacentral:lncRNA from 1 species
AAGUGUACUUUUGAUGCUCUUUAUCUGUUUCACUCACCCCCACAGACCUCCCCUGUGGCAACCACUAAUCUGUUCUCAAUAUUUAAGAGUCCAUUUUUUUUGGUCUCUUUUUUUCUGUUGUUUGAUUUGUUUCUUAAAUUCUAUAUAUGAGCGAAAUCAUAUGGUAUUUGCCUUUCUCUGUCUGACUUAUUUCACUUAUCAUUUUACCCGCCAGAUAUAUCCAUGUUAUUGCAGAUGGCAAGAUUUCAUUCUUUCUUAUGGCUGAGUAAUAUUCUAUUGUGUGCAUGUGUAUGUAUAUAUAGCUCACAUCUUUUGAUCCAUUCAUCUACUGAUGGACACUUGGCUAUUGUAAAAUUGCCAAUUUUUGAUGGACACUUGGCCAUUGUAAAAUUGCCAGUUUUGGCUAUUGGAAAUAAUGCUGUACUAAACAUAGGGGUGCAUAUAUCUUUUUGAAUUAGUGUUUUUGUAUUCUUUGGGUAAAUAGUAGUGGAAUUAUUGGAUCAUAUGAUAACUCUAUUUUUAAUUUUUUGAGCAACCUCCAUACUAUUUUCUAUGAUGUCUGUACCAGUUUGCAUUCCACCAACAGUGCACAAGGGUUCCUUUUUCUCCACAUCUUCUCCAACAAUUGUUAUUUCUUGUCUUUUUCAAUGAAUGGUUUUAUACUGAACAUGUAUUACCUUUAAAAUUAAAAUAGCAUUGAAAUUUUUUCUAUUAAAAAUUUCUGAGAUAAAUACUUCUAUAAAUAUUUCUAUCUCAUAGAUGAAACAUGUUCUAGGAAAACUAGAAUUGUAGAUUUGGAAAUAAAAGUCUUGUUUUUUUUGUUCUGGUUCAUAAUACCAUUUUCUUUAGUUGAGUGUCUAUUUCAGUAUCCCCAUAAUAAAAUUUUUUUUUUAAAAGAGGGCUUUGGAUUUUUGAUUUCACUUCUGACUUUGAGAUGGUUGUCUAUUCUGAGUCUUAUUUUCCUUAUUGAGAAGCAGAAUCAACUGUAUUCUAAUCCAUGCUCUCUACUACUGGUGAUUUUGAGCCAAUUACUAAGAUGUUAUGUUGUUUGGUUUCCCAAUCUGAAAAAAGAUGAUGAUGAUGAUGCUAAAAUAAAUUCCGAAGGUUUGUUGUGGGGAUUAAAUAAAAUAGUUGGCACCUAGUAAGUAUUCACCAAAUGUAAGUACAUCUACACUGGCAGUAAUACAACAAAAACACAGCCUGAACUAAGUUUUCUUUGAGAGAAUGGCCAAUAUAAUUUAUAAAUUAUAAAUAAAUUGAUAUCAUAAAUUAGUCUCAUUUCAUAUCUAGAAACAAGAUAAUGGAGGGUUGAAUGCAAAAUUCUUGAUUUUGACUCAUUGGAGAAAACACCUCUUCUGUGUUCAAUUAUCUAACAUAUUUUCCUGUUUUAAAAUCUGAGCUGUCAUAUUAAACAACACAAAUAUUUCUACAUGAUUUUAUUUCCAGAAAUCUCUAUUGGAUCAUUAGAAUUCUUUAUUAUUCCAUUAACUCAAGACAAUUUGCACUGCCUUGCUUGAUUUUCUCUGUAAAUGGAGGUGAUACAAUUAUGCUAUUUUAAGUAAUUUAAAGACCAUGUUCCCUACCACCUAUCCAUUUGUAUGGUAUAUUAUUCGGCAUGCCUGGCUAUCGGAUGCCAACACACUCCCUGGUCUUUUAAUAGAGAGCCAUUAACCAUGUGAGGAUCAGAAGCGAUGUAUAUAUUAAUGAUAUAUUUUAAUUUAACACAUGACAGCAAGGGAAGGCUGAGUGACAGAUCAUAUUUAGUUACAAAUAAGGGAAGAACUCAUUGCUUAGGAGUGUUCAAGUCACAGGUGAAUAGCAAAAGGUUUUUAUUCCAUCCCUGACAGAAUAAAUUUAUCUCCUUAAAAGUCACCUUUAUGCUUUCUACUUAUCAUCAGGAAGGCUGCAUUCUGUAUUUCAAUUUUAUGUGGACAAGACAUUAAUUUUAAGUGAAAGACAUUGUUCGGUGCUGGAAUUAAAUGAGGUCGUUAUUGGUUUGAGUGGUAAAGGUGGGGGGUUCAGGCUCAUGUUUGGCUUUAAUGAGAAAAGUGCUAUGUGAAUAUGGUCCUCUUGACUUUUUUGGCACUGAAAGCAAAAUAUAAAUGGGGCAGUGGAAUUGAAAGCCAUCAGUGGCCUCUCCAAGUACCUGGCAUCAGGGUGCACAUCUGAUACCAUCAGAAAUGGAAUGCGGUGUAAGAAUAUAUUAGUCCUUUCUCAGCGAAGAGAUUGGGAGAGCUGCUUAGAAUUGAUUUUAGAUAGAGGAGCUCAAAGAGCGUUGACUUGUGCUGUUGGGAAAGGGACUUCAGAGGUCACCUAGUUUAAACCAAAGUUUAAUCCUUUUGGCAACAAUGCCUAUCCAUUUCUUAAACACCUCUAGAAAGGGAGAUAUUGAGCCACUCCUGAUACAGAGAUGUCAUCACUUGGCAGGACAGAGAUGAGAGAGAGCUGGUAACUAGAAGAAGAUGAAUAUUUAAAACAACCUUAACUUGUUCCAUAUUUGAGAGAAAACAAAUGAGAUUUUGUUCAAAUAAGGCCGAGAAGACCAAUUCGUCUCUAUUCAGAGAAGGUUCAGGUGAUUGUAGAGGAGUACAAGCUAAUUAAAAUUAAACAGUGCCCAGUUCCCCAUGCCUGCUAUGGCCCCACUUCCUUGGAAGUUUAUAUAACUUUCACUUUCUCACUUCUCAUUCACUUUGCGAUUUAGCAGUAUCUGGCUUUACCUUCCCCAAUCAAUUGAAAUGGCUUUUGAAACUCACCCAAGGUGUUCUUGCCCAGUUGGCGGACACUUUUCAAGCUUAUAUGAUUUGACCUCUCUCUCGUAUUUGAAAGACAAGGAAGGUUCUCACACCUAUUCCAAAAUACAUGGUCUCCUGUUAUUUUCCCUUACAUGUCGUGAUGGGGGAGGACUGGGCUUUCUGUAAUUACCUCUCUAAAUCAAGGGAGGUUGGAUUAUGCUAAGUACAUCUUUAGUCUUCUUUUUCCUUUUUUUGUUUUGAUAUUUAAUGAGGAUUCAGCCAAGCAUUGUGUUCUGUGCUUUACAUUAUCUGAUUUAAUGCCCUGUGAUCUCAAGAGGAGGAAGUUAGCAUCAUCUUCAGUUUACAGGUAAGAAAACUGAGGUUCAUAGAAGAGGUUAAGUCCUUGCUCAGGGUUAUGUAGUUGGUAAACAGUGGAGCCUGGAUGUAAACGAGCAUGGAGCCCUUGUCAGGUCUAGAGUACCAGAGGACUCCGAGAACGUACUCACACGGGUGGCAAUCGGCUGCUCGGGACAUAUGUUGAGGUGGCAGGUAUAAGCUGAGGUGGCACAAUGUUACUGGGAUGAACAGGGAGGCUCAUGUACCUGUGAGGGUUGGUAAGGUGCCUUCAGACUGGCUGUGUAGGGAAACAGAACAGGAACUAGAGUCACGACGUGAACUUACAUUUAAAUAUCUCUUCCCAAAAGAGAACUGUUGGUUUAGUUCAUCACACUUAUAAUGACUAAUUAAAUGUCUGUUCACCCCAUAGGUUGUGGACUUUGCUCAACUUUUUUAUUGCUGCAUCUUCAACCCAUAAGACAAAGGCAGUUAAUGAAUAUUUACUGAAUAUUACAAACCCAUUUCCUUUUGAAAUUCUCUGACAUCUGUGAAACCACUCUCUGUAGAUUUUUCCCUCAACUUACUGGCUGCUCCUCACCAGUCUCUUCCGUGUUCCACUUUCUCCUGACCCUCUAUUGUUUCCCAGGUGUCUACCCUUAACAUACAUGUCAAUCUACUGUAUUUAUGUUCUAAGGGUUAGAAACUGCACCCAGUAGCAUUAACUAGCCUGUAAUUAUUGUCUCUAAAAUCUCUAGUUUAGUUUGAAUUUCUUUCCUGAGCAUGUAACUCUAUGUCCAACUUUUUCCUAGUAUAACUCCACUUUGGAGUCCCAUGGGUACCUCAAAAUCAAUAAAUCUUAUAUGCUCCAUAUGAACACACUAAGCCUCCUUAUUGAAACAUUUGUGUGUCUCUGUAGAUUUUUUUUUUCUGCAGAUAUUUUUAUUCUAAAGGUAACAUUUAAAGCUUUCAAUAGAUAAUUUAAAAGGUCCAUGGCUCAAGAAAAGCUUAGAGCUACUGUGCAUUCUUCCUGAAGAUGGAACUCUUCCCUGAUCAUGAUCACAAUGGUUGGGGCAGAUACUCUGUGCAGACUUGCAAAUCCUGGCUAUUGUAGUACUUCUUAACCUCAGUCUCAUGCCUCUUGUGAGGAUAACACAAUCCCUUGGUUUACACAUAUGGCAGCUUGCUUUGCUGUGCUAUCAUUCAUCAUAUGCUUACCCUUCAUUCUGCUUUUAGGACUGGCCUUCCUGUUAGUUUUGGGCUCCUCUGUUAAACUGAAAUGAAUUGAGGCAAGGACAAACAUAGCCCAGGACAUGAAAAAGGGAAAAACUUAAAGACAGUGUAGACAGCCAUGUCUGGUGAUGCAGAAAUAGGAAGGAAAAUGAGAGAAGGGAGAAAGUAAUUAGAAGAAUUAGGAGAAUCGGUAACUUCUGAGAAAAUAACUUGAGAGGAAUUGUGGGAAAGGAAGACAGAUGACAAGGUGAUGGAAAGGAUAUAGAUAAUGAAGGGGAUGUGAAAAAUUCUAAAAUGCUAGAAGGGGCAGCAGUGAAAUUCCUGACUAUGGAGCCCAAGCUGAGAGAUGAAGGACUUGAAAAAUGUGGAGAAAGGGGUUAGAGUUCUGGUGAAGUUCAGGAGCAGUAACUUAGUAAGAGAGAGAGAGAGGAGAGAGCAGGAGACACUUGAAGAAGGUGAGCCCUAUGGUCAAAGUCUUGUGUUUGAUGCUUUCCUCAGUGAUGCUGAGGUGGUUCAAGUGCAUUAUUUUCGUGGCUGGGUUAGCAGAACAGAGAUUAAAUUGGGUAAGAGAGUAUGGGGCAGUGUGUAUGGUGGUUUUAAAAUGUGUGCAUAUUCUCUGAUAUUCUUCUCAUAAGAGGUGUGAUUGAAUACACUUCCCUUAAAAUAUGGGCUGGUCUCAGUGACUGGCUUCUAACGAUGCAGUGGAAGUGAUGCUGUGUAGCCUGUGAAGCCAGGUCAUAAAAGGCAGUGUAACUUCCAUCUGGCUCUCUUGAGAGAUGCUUGCUUUUGGAACCCAUUUACUAUGCUCUGAGGACCCAGGUCACAUAGAAAGAUCUACAGGGAGAGGCACUUAUAUUGUGAACCAACUCUCAGCCUGGGCUGAGCUCCCAGCUAAAUCCAGCUGUACUCUGGCAGUCCUGGAAGGAACCCUCCCAGAAGCCAAUCCUCAAGCCUUUGGUUGAACCAUCCAGGCUGAUGCCACGUGGCACAGAGAGGAGCCUCAUCCUGUUGAUACCUGUCCAGAUUGUGGAUUUGUGAGGAAAAUGUAUGAUUAUUAUGUUUUAAGUCACUAAAGCUGAUGGUUUGUAUGCAGCUACAGAAAAGAGGAGUAGGGUUUUAACAAGGUCAUCAACAGAGAUGUUUCUGUAUAUCAGUGUGGUCUAUGCAAAGAGCAAAGUUGUUGGACAUGGGAUGAUCUGAGUUCAGAUCUUUGAUUACCAUUUCUGAGCUCCAUUUGUCCUAUCUUUAAAGUGGAGAUGAUUUGGACCUCAGGGAUUACUGUGCGAUUUAGGAACAAUUGGUAUAAAGUCAGUAGCUGUUACGCGAUUGCCAUUGACAAAUGGCAGCUCUGUUUAUUGUUAGGGAAGCCUGGGAGGAGCUUGGGCUGUGGCAUCAGUUAUAUUUGUGUUUAUCUUCUGGUUCCAUUGCUAACUAAAUGUGUGGGCUUUGGGGCAAGUUAUGGAAGUUCUCUGAAUCAUGCAUUCUUCUUGUGUAAGAGGAGGAUGAAGCCUGCCUUCCAGGGUUGAUGGAAAUUAGAAUCUGUGUACAACAGAUUAGCAAUUGCAUAGUAACUGACUGGCACCUGGUAGGUACUCAACAAGUAGUAAUAUACUAAUUAUAAAUGUGAUAAUUAGUAUGCUAUCCCUGAAUUUAUGACUACUGGCCAGAGUAGGGCAGACUAGAAAAUUCUGACACAAGCACUGAAGCCUUGCAUGCAGUUGAAGGAAGGUUCUAGUAGAGACAGUAAUGAAAUUUCGGGAAGGAUGAUAUUAAUAAGUAGUAUAAGUUUCAAUAGAAGAAACUUUUGAAUGAUGAGAGUAAGAUAAAGACUUCAAAAAAGCAUUUAGAACAUCCUCUUUCUUCUAGUACUGAGAAUAGGAGGAAAUAGGCUUAGAAGAUUAGAAAAAAAUAAUGAGUUUCUAAAUACUAGAAAAGGCCACAAAACUCCACCACAAUGGAUCUGAAGUUCUGAGGGGACAAGUAAGAUGGAGAGACUGAAAGGAAAGUAAUAUGGUUGAUAAGCAGGAUUAGUUUUUAAGAAUUUCAGUAAAAAAGGGGGAGAUUUAAGUCUCUCCAUCAUUCAACAGACAACUCAUGGCCAUAGCUCUGUGUUCUUGUCUCUCGUAUUAGCCACACACUUCAGCUUGCAUAGGACUUGAGAUCCUCCACCUUUGGGCUGAAUCUCUCUCAAACUUUCUUAAAUGGGAAGUUAUUCUUUCCUCAAAAGAUUAUCAAUCAGUAAUUUACUAACUCAAUAUCUGGGAACCUGCAUCCCAAAGUCUUCCCAUGUCUAUUGACUUAAGUCUUUUCAGGAAUCUUGCCCUUUGAACAUGUCCCAUUCCAUAGUUAAUGGCUAUUGAACAUCUCUUUUGGCCUGGACAUAGUAACAAGGUAUACUUAACAGCUCCUGAGAAAGGUAUAUGUCAGCCUCUGGAAACAUUUUUUAAAAAUUAUUUUACCUAUCUAAUUAGCAUGAUGUAUUCAUCUGUCUUCUAUACCUUUGCUAUAAUAUCAUUUAUUCGUUUGGUAUUUACUGAGUAUCUACUAUGUACUAGCCACUGGUCUAGACCCCCUAUAUUCCUGGAACUUGUAAUCUGUGGUGGAGUGGCAGUGGUGAGAAGAUAGACAACAAACAAAUAGACCUGUCCUAGUAGAAAGAACAUCCAUGACAUACAAUAUAUCUUAAUUAGCUACCUGCACAGAACUCUUAUGUGCCUAAGUAAGUGCAGGUGUUGGGUAUAUUAAUGGGAAGGGGAGCCUGGGUCCCUGAGUUGGUUAAGCAUCCAGCUCUUGGUUUCAGCUCAGGUCAUGAUCUCAGGGUCAUGAGAUUGAGCCUUGUG